rnacentral:rRNA from 1 species
GAACGAGAAAGUGGAGCAAUCCAUGAGUAAAGUGGCGACCGGGUGAGUAACACGUGACUAACCUACCUCCGAGUGGGGAAUAACUCCGGGAAACCGGGGCUAAUACCGCAUAACAUCGCAAGAUCAAAGCAGCAAUGCGCUUGGAGAGGGGGUCGCGGCUGAUUAGCUAGUUGGCGGGGUAACGGCCCACCAAGGCGAAGAUCGGUAUCCGGCCUGAGAGGGCGCACGGACACACUGGAACUGAAACACGGUCCAGACUCCUACGGGAGGCAGCAGUGGGGAAUUUUGCGCAAUGGGGGAAACCCUGACGCGGCAACGCCGCGUGGAGGAUGAAGCCCUUUGGGGCGUANACUCCUUUCGACUCGGACGAUAAUGACGGUACGAGUGGAAGAAGCACCGGCUAACUCUGUG